rnacentral:lncRNA from 1 species
UUAGGUCCAUAAUUGGGUUAGACCUAAGGUUAGCUUAAAAAUGGACUAAAUGGAGUAAUUGGUCAAAUCUAAUCAAAAGUUGAAUUAGAUUAGGUCAAGAAUACUCUAGACUCAACUUCGAUGGUUGUAGUUGAAUGGGUCCAUAUCUUUAACUAGACCAAGAUGGACUUAAUUCAUGGCUACGCGGUAGAGCCCUAUUUACUAAGUUGAUCAAAAUUAAAACUAAUGAACCGGUUGGUGUCGAAGGUAAGUUCGACAGUUUUGACCAGUGGUUCUUAAGCGGGAGCUACUCACAUUGAUUCGAUCAUUGACGAGUUAAUGGCAAAUCCCCACCACUGAUCUCACUUACCUGGCCAAUCUGGUAAGUUAGAUUUUGAUUAGAUCACUUGGUGAUUAGAGCUCACCCAUGUCAUUAGGUAAAUCAGUGUGACUGAUUUAGGUGCUUCUAAUGCCAGCUUUAAUUAAAUCUUUUUUUAAUCUGACUUGGUGAAGUCAGUGGAAGGAUUGAAAUUGGCUGGAUGAUUUCCUCUCUACUAUCCUUUAAUAAAAUCCUCAAAAAUUAUUAGGUCCCUAAAAUGAUUAAGUUAUAAUGAUAACUAAGUCAAUGCCUCCCAUUAAGUGAGUAAUAAUGAGUCCAUUAGUUCAAUGAUCAUUGGAGGUCCAAAGGCCUGGUGCUCAUUGGCUAAUGGAAUUAUCAUUCAUAAUAUGAUAAUUUGGUUGAGUCUUUCUGAUGGUGGUUAGGUUGGCUGGCCAAAGUCGGAUCUGAUCAUUUAUUGGUCUGAUUCACCAAAUUAAGUCAUGUUAAUGGUUGGACCUAACUAGAUCUUUUCAGUGGAGGCCAAAGCCUACUGAUUAGGUUCUGGGCAAAAUUAAUUAUUAGAAGUUGUUUAGAGAAACAACUGGUUAAGAACCUACCCAUAGAUGCACAUGGGUUGACCAACCAAAGUUGGGCUCGUGUGUAGUCUGUGUGGAUUCUAGUACCCAUUAAGGAAUUAAAGUAAUUUUUCGAAUUGGAGGUUGAGGCUACCAGUUCGUAAAAAUAUUGAGAAAAACUUUAGACUAAAGUCCAAAUCUUUAGUAUUAAUUUAUGUACUAAUAGAGGUCUGGUUUUUCUUUAUACAGCUAUGGCCACUACCCUGUCGCUCCGGUCAUUAUUAGAUAAUGACAAG